GAAUGUGGUGGGGUAUCCCAGUCUCAGGGGAAGAAUACAGUCUCCAUGUAGAUCUCACAAAGGUUGAUGGUUCAUCUAUUUUCCAUCUGGUGCAAAUUCUGUGACCUCCCUUUGCUGAAAAUCUGCUCUGCAUGAGCUUUCUCAGUGUGUAAUUGCUUGAGGAUCUAUAGCUGUUUUUUAAUUACAUUAGAAUGCUGCAGCGUCUGAUGCAGCCACUCAGCCAUGGUGUGGACCUGCCUUCUCCCAGAGGGACCAUUCCAGAACAGCAGCACUUGCUUUGAGAUGAAAUCUAUAGCAGGGGUGGCUUGUACACAGGUAGCAGUGACUCUUCAGUUAUGGCCAAUUCAUUUCUUUCCUGGGAAGCCACUCUGCAGGACAGUGGACUGCAGAGAAGUUGGGGUUUAGAAAAAUAACAGCCAAAACAUCGAGUCAUCUCUCAUCAUGCUGGCACACAGCCCAGAAGCUUGUAAAAAUGCAACUUCAUCAAACAAAAAAUAGUUACCAGAAAAGGAACAGAACAGAGAAGAAAAUACCUUCCCAGCUCUAACUUGUGAUGUUCCUGUGUUUCAUACUCUAUGUACAUUCUAUGAUUCUACAGCUCUUGUUACCCUGUCUCAAGUGGGAAGGUGGAACUGGAAGAACUGCAGAGAUGACAGCCUGAGCAGGGGAACUGAACAGUUUCCGUACAAGCAGAGACUGAAUGCACCAAAUCUCUUCACCCUGGGGAAAAAGGAGUCUCAUGGUGUGCAUAAUACUGUGCACAAUAACGAUGUAAAAAGGUGUACAAAAUUAUAAACAAUCCAGAGGAUGCAGAGAGGAGAUGAUUAUCUCCUCUUACCUCAGAACAAGAAGUAGGGGCACCCUGAAAUUUCUAGGAGAAAGGAGAAAAGCACUUUUUCUUCAUAAUGCAAAAUAAUUUGAGGAAUUUGUUGCUACAUGAUGUUUUCCAUACUGUGUUUAAAGAGGUUUAAGAAAUUAUUAGACUAAUUCAAGACAGAAAGAUGCAUCAUAGGUUAUUAAAUACAGUGGUCGGGAUACAACUUUCAGUUCAGGAAAACACAAAGUCUUUGACUGCACAAACUAGAAGAUUACAUUUAGGGAAAUAUAAUGUUACACCUUUGGGCUAAACAAGGACAGAUUAGUAAAAGGAUCAUUUUUCAGCUUUCUUCACUUCUCUGGAUAUUUUA